rnacentral:misc_RNA from 1 species
ACAAACUUGGUCAUUUAGAGGAAGUAAAAGUCGUAACAAGGUUUCCGUAGGUGAACCUGCGGAAGGAUCAUUACCGAGUGAGGGCCCUCUGGGUCCAACCUCCCACCCGUGUUUAUCGUACCUUGUUGCUUCGGCGGGCCCGCCUCACGGCCGCCGGGGGGCAUCUGCCCCCGGGCCCGCGCCCGUCGAAGACACCAAUGAACUCUGUCUGAAGAUUGCAGUCUGAGCGAUUAGCUAAAUCAGUUAAAACUUUCAACAACGGAUCUCUUGGUUCCGGCAUCGAUGAAGAACGCAGC